GUUAAGAUGGCAGAGCCAGGUAAUUGCAAAAGAUCUAAGCCCUUUCAUCAGAGGUUCAACUCCUCUUCUUAACU
rnacentral:tRNA from 1 species